GCCUCUUGUUCCAGCAGACAGCCCGAAAACAGACCCGGCAUACACCCAGCUUUUGGAAGGCCCGGAAAAGUGAAUCAGCAGACAGAAACAGAGUCCCUCCCCUUUGACGACCAACUGGGGGUUAAAAUCCAUGCUCCCGGGACCAGCCUGCCCAGCUCAGUGGGGUCAGGAGGCUUUGUCCUAUGAAGGCAGCCUGGGAGGGAGGCACGUUACUGCUCCUUGGGGUGAGAGAAGAGAGAUGGUGCUUGCUGUCAUUCCAUGGCCUUUCCAAGUAUCCCUGAGGCUCAGAAUUCCUUGGCGGUCCUGGGGGAGGCAGCGACUGAGGCAGCGGCUGUACUGUGCUUCUCAGCUGGCUGUCUGGUCUCCAUCCUCGCGAGGCUGUCGCUGCACCACAGGACAGAGGCGGACACCCAGGUUCCCUGGUACCCAGUCUCUCCAGAGGCUCAGAGUGUGCGUUGGUGUGGAACAGCCUCUAAGAGGUACCUUGGCCUUCCUGGAGCCCCAGAACAUGGAGACUAACCCAGGACAGAGACGGUCACUGUGGGAGAAAAGACGACACGAUGGUUACCCUGCAGCAAACCAGUCUGACUCACCUUGAAAAGUAUUUGGCCGAGCACAGUGGCUCACACCUGUAAUCCCAGCACUUUGGGAGGCCAAGGGGGUGUGGAUCUCCUGAGGUCAAGAGUUCGAGACCAGCCUUGCCAACUUGGUGAAACUCCAUCUCUACUAAAAAUACAAAAAUCAGCUGGGCGUGGUGGUGGGCACCUGUAAUACCAGCUGCUCAGGAGACCGAGGCAUGAGAAUCACUUGAACCCAGGAGGCAGAGGUUGCAGUGAGCCAAAAGAAAGAGAGAAAGAGAGAGAGAAGGAAGGAAGGAAGGAAGGAAGGAAGGAAGGAAGGAAGGAAGGAAG
ensembl:lincRNA